rnacentral:rRNA from 1 species
CACGGGAGCAAUCCUGGUGGCGAGUGGCGAACGGGUGAGUAAUAUAUCGGAACGUGCCCAGUCGUGGGGGAUAACGCAGCGAAAGCUGUGCUAAUACCGCAUACGAUCUACGGAUGAAAGCGGGGGAUCGCAAGACCUCGCGCGAUUGGAGCGGCUGAUAUCAGAUUAGCUAGUUGGUGGGGUAAAGGCCUACCAAGGCGACGAUCUGUAGCUGGUCUGAGAGGACGACCAGCCACACUGGAACUGAGACACGGUCCAGACUCCUACGGGAGGCAGCAGUGGGGAAUUUUGGACAAUGGGCGCAAGCCUGAUCCAGCAAUGCCGCGUGCAGGAUGAAGGCCUUCGGGUUGUAAACUGCUUUUGUACGGAACGAAAAGGUCUCUCUUAAUACGAGAGAUUUAUGACGGUACCGUAAGAAUAAGCACCGGCUAACUACGUGCCAGCAGCCGCGGUAAUACGUAGGGUGCGAGCGUUAAUCGGAAUUACUGGGCGUAAAGCGUGCGCAGGCGGUUUUGUAAGACAGAUGUGAAAUCCCCGGGCUCAACCUGGGACCUGCAUUUGUGACUGCAAGGCUAGAGUACGGUAGAGGGGGGAUGGAAUUCCGCGUGUAGCAGUGAAAUGCGUAGAUAUGCGGAGGAACACCGAUGGCGAAGGCAAUCCCCUGGACCUGUACUGACGCUCAUGCACGAAAGCGUGGGGAGCAAACAGGAUUAGAUACCCUGGUAGUCCACGCCCUAAACGAUGUCAACUGGUUGUUGGGUCUUUACUGACUCAGUAACGAAGCUAACGCGUGAAGUUGACCGCCUGGGGAGUACGGCCGCAAGGUUGAAACUCACAGGAAUUGACGGGGACCCGCACAACCGGUGGAUGAUGUGGUUUAAUUCGAUGCAACGCGAAAAACUUACCCAC